rnacentral:rRNA from 1 species
AUUGAACGCUGGCGGCAGGCCUAACACAUGCAAGUCGAACGGUAACAGGAAACAGCUUGCUGUUUCGCUGACGAGUGGCGGACGGGUGAGUAAUGUCUGGGAAACUGCCUGAUGGAGGGGGAUAACUACUGGAAACGGUAGCUAAUACCGCAUAACGUCGCAAGACCAAAGAGGGGGACCCUCGGGCCUCUUGCCAUCGGCUGUGCCCAGAUGGGAUGAGCUUGUUGGUGGGGUAACGGCUCACCAAGGCGACGAUCCCUAGCUGGUCUGAGAGGAUGACCAGCCACACUGGAACUGAGACACGGUCCAGACUCCUACGGGAGGCAGCAGUGGGGAAUAUUGCACAAUGGGCGCAAGCCUGAUGCAGCCAUGCCGCGUGUAUGAAGAAGGCCUUCGGAUUGUAAAGUACUUUCAGCGGGGAGGAAGGGAGUAAAGUUAAUACCUUUGCUCAUUGACGUUACCCGCAGAAGAAGCACCGGCUAACUCCGUG